CUUAAUUGGGAAUUUUCCUUUUCAAUUUCAAAUUUUAUCAAUCCAAAUAAUUCAGUCCAAAUAAUUCUCAGUCCAUUGGGUUUGUCUUCUGGUUUCGUCUCCUCAUAGGGUUCAAAUUGUUUAGGUUUACUGAUCAUGAUUUGGAUUCUGUUUUUUUAUCAAAAAUUAGGUCAUUGUCUGUUCAAAUUUCAAAAUUCAUAAUUUAAUAAAAUGAACGCACAUUUCGAAAUUCAAACCUAGUUGAGAAUUAGAAAUACUUACUCUCCUAU
rnacentral:lncRNA from 1 species